GUGGGGGCGGGGCGGGGGCGCGGAGGGGGCGUGGGGCGCUCGGAAGAGUCCCCCGCCCCGCGCCAGGCCCGCUCUUGUGCCGGUUCCGCUUUUCCAGGUGCUCGUUUUCUCGCUUGUGCGUUUUGCUUGUUGUUUUUUGUUUUUGUUUUUGUUUUUUUAGUUUUAAAGGUUGCCAGGCAGAGGGUGAAGGAGAAAGUUCGCUCCAAAGAAUGCACGGUCACCCAUUUGUGCCCGCGUCAUCAACGUGGGGACCGAAGCGGCGUCAUCGCCCGCCUGGCGGCCUCCGAGUGGAAAAGUUACAAAGCCUUUCUCAACUAAAGCGCGAACGCGGAGUCGGCGCGUGGUGCCCGGGCCUAGCUUUAAAAUGGGCGGGGUGGGCCAGGCGCUGACCCGGCGGUUCCCGCAGACUCGGCGCCCUCGUCUGCCUUCUCGGGGUGCGGACAGUGCGUCUGCCCCCGGGACGCCCGUGCUGGACGCGAGAGGGGCCGCAGGCCUGUGGGGAGCGCGCGGCCGGAGUGAGCGCCGACAGUGACCGCGCGGCGGCCGGCGACCUCCUCUUCGGGAAGGCUUUUUUCUUCCCCGACCCUUGACCCCCAAGCCCUGUCCCCCUACGCCGCCUCUCUCACGGUGAUUCCCAGCCCCGGCUGCACAUCAGCAUGAACGGAAGUAAACUCGCGACACCCGGACCCCGCCACCUGAGCGCCUUAGCUGGUGUGAGCGGCCGAGCGUUCCUAUUUUCAAGAGUUCCCGGAACGGCCUUAACCACUCCCUCCCGGCCUCCGCCGUCCCGCAGGCGGCGCCCCGGCCUCUCUCCUCAGUCUCUAACCCUCCAAUGGAAGGCUGGGGCUUGCGGCUGCGAAGGUGACUUAGGAACUGCAGAGCUCUUCAACCCCAGGUUCCCAGGUAGAGCAGAGCCACAGCUGACCUGUGAGAUAGUGUGAAACGUGAGUGAGAAAGAAACCUUUGUCGAGGUAACUGCUGAGAUUUGGGCUUGCCACAGUAUAACUCAGCAAAAGCAGACAGGACACUGGUGUGAAUGAGCCACAGAGUUUUAAAAGUUAGAUGGCAUUUUUAAGUAUGAAUGUUUAGGUAUUCAGUAAAGCAGGUCUUUUUUCCAGAGAUCUGCCUAGCUCAUGAUGACUCCCACCUCCAGGUCAGCAUUAACCUAAGAUUACGUAACAGCUUUAUCAAACUAAUUGUAAGAACUGAAGACAUUACUUUUACUGAUAGUCUUGCUGUGGAUAUAUAUGCAAAAAGGUGGGUUUACUUUCUGCAUUAUUUGUGAGUAACUCCAAAGUACAGUUUAAUCAUAAUAUAACAAUUUAUAAAAUUAUGCUUUUUUCUUAUAAAAAGGUGGACUAGGUGCCCACCUUUACAACUAAAAAGAGAAGAUGCUUGGGCAUCUCCUCCAGCCUAAGGGACCUCCUGUGCACCUUCCAAUUGCUGGACUCUUUCAGACUGCUCAGCCCCCUGGGUAGCAGAAUUUAGGGUGGGGUAGAAUAUAAAUAAGUACCCGAAGAGGCCUUUGGUUGGUAGUUUUUUACUUUUAUCUGCAUAACUAAAAUUGCCUUUCCCUAAUCAUAUGACUCCUGACCAGAAAAUAAUGGUAGAAGGGCACUUAUGCUUUUGUCCCUUCUGUUUUCUGGAACUAUUCCAUGUACAAGGUCAUAGUAGAAGCAGCCACCUUGGUACAACCUUGAUACAGCUUGAUCCCUAUCCAUGCCCUCCCCCCUUUCCCAGGACUAGCAUGGAUACCCAGUCACAGGCUUUGUAAAUAAAUCUCUGCAGAAGGAAAAUUCAGAGUAACUGAUGGACAUCCAUUAGUUAUUGCCACCCAGCAUCUAUUUCUCAUUUUCCUGGUAGCAGUUCCCUCUCUUCAGGUCAAAAGCUGAGCUUCUGGGUCCGAGUUCUGGGUCAACUCUCAGCUCUACAGUUUAUUAGCUAUGAGGGCUUCAGUGAAAUGCAUUAACCCGUGACUUAAUUUCCCCAUCUAUAAAAUAGGGAUAAUGUGAUGAUUAAAGUUGUAAACAGAGAAGAUAACCUGAAGUUAUCUAACCUUUAUCAAACCUAAAUGAGUUAACUUAUCCACUUAGAACUGUACCUAGCAAAUAGUAAACUUUAUAUAGCAUUUGCUGUUACUAUUAUGUGUUUGGGAUGGAUAUAACCUCAGGUGACCAGGCAUAUGUCCCAGGCCUGGCCAAUGAGCGUAUUCCAUCCAUCUGGCCGUAGGUGGUUUAGAAGUGAACAUGUGACCCACGCUGGGCUUAACUGGCACCCAUAUCCUGAGACUUCUUGGGACUCUCGGAGAACCAGCCUGUUAGAGAAGGAGAGAAACCUAGAGGACAAAACCAGCAGAGAGUUUAGGCCCUGGUGGAGGGAGGCUGCCUUCUGAUGACAUCAUUCAACCACCUGGAUCCAGCUGGCCUGGAAUUUUUGGUUAUUUGAGCUGUUAAAUUCCCUCCCUAAUUAGCUUAAGCCUGUUGGAGCUGCCUUUGUUUUCUUUUUUGCUUUUUGUUUUUUGUUUUUUUGUCCCCUGCCAAAAAAAAA